rnacentral:rRNA from 1 species
CCUACGGGAGGCAGCAGUGGGGAAUAUUGGACAAUGGGGGGAACCCUGAUCCAGCGACGCCGCGUGAGUGAAGAAGUAUUUCGGUAUGUAAAGCUCUAUCAGCAGGGAAGAAAAUGACGGUACCUGACUAAGAAGCCCCGGCUAACUACGUGCCAGCAGCCGCGGUAAUACGUAGGGGGCAAGCGUUAUCCGGAUUUACUGGGUGUAAAGGGAGCGUAGACGGUGCAGCAAGUCUGAUGUGAAAGGUCGGGGCCCAACCCCGGGACUGCAUUGGAAACUGUUGAACUGGAGUACAGGAGAGGUAA